rnacentral:tRNA from 1 species
GGGGAUGUAGCUCAGUGGGUACAGUGCUUGCAGUGCAUGCAUAAGGCCCUGGGUUCAAUCCCCAGCACCACCA